UCCACAGCCAGAUAGCUUUCCUCUGGGUACCUUGGCAAUCUCUCUCUCUCUCUUGUGCAGUUGAGCGUGAGAAGAGAGUGAGAGGGCAGAGAGGGAAACCCUUCCCUUCACUAACGCAUACAAACUACCUGAAGUUCAGCAGUGCCGGCAAGAGACAACUCUGCAUGUUCGGAGGGAAUGAGCUCCAGAGAGGAAAAUCGAAGGCUGCAGUAAGGGCAAACUGUGGCAUUCCGACAGAGCCGCUCAUGAUUCCCCUGUUCAAUAAGAGAGGACAGCUUAGCAUUACAAAGACGACACUGGAAUUCUGACAUCUGACUGUUAUAAAUGUAACAGUUCUCCAGAAAUAUAUAUUUUCCAGCGACAGAGUUAAUUGAAAAGAAUAGAGAGAGCAAGUGCUAGAAGAAUUCUCCAGUUUUUAAGCUUUACAUAGGCACCUGUUUUUUUCUUGCACAUGAGAGACCUUAAUGUUUAUUUACAUAAACUAAAAACUAGAUUAAUACAGUCCUGUCCAUGGAAUGGAUGACAGUGCUAAUAAAACUGAAGUGAAAUACUCGAAAGGAACUUUGCCCAACAUGGCACAGUAGUGUUAUUUGUUUGAAUGAAUAUGGGCCACAACUCUAGUUUGUAACUAAUCCAUUCCAUGCCCAGAGUAAUGAAUUGUUUAUGCAUCAAAUGUUGUUUGAUGUGAAUUAAAGCAGCGUGUAGAGGAAAGACCUGCUUGCCAGAGCAGCACUCACUCGAACACAAUGGGUUUCUUUUCCCUACUGAAUAUAUUAACACAUAACUGUUCAAUAUCAAGAGGAAUAUUUAAAAGUAAAGUGUUAUUAUAUGGCUUCAGAUAGAAAA